UCUUGGAGAUGAUGUAAACAAAAGGCCGAAUUGUAGUGUCCCCUCAAGCAGUGUGUUCUCGACAGGGGGCGCCCUGACAAAGACCGACCGAAGCGUUUAUCUGAUCCAAGA
ensembl:snoRNA small nucleolar RNA SNORD89